ACACAUCUGUAAGAUCUACCAUUUUAAAAAAUCGUCACUGGGGUUGUGUUGUGAAAGCUUGUCCUAGUUAUUUUGGAAGGAGAUAUCUUGUAGGUAUAUUUUUCUUGAAUCUGCAGCUUCAACCUAGUCCAAAGCCCCAAUUGGGAAUUUGGAAUGGAACCUCACCAUCACUUGAGAUGGCACCACCACUAACACAAUCUGCACCAUAUCCAACCCAAUCUGUAGAAGGAGCAGUAGUGCUAGU